rnacentral:rRNA from 1 species
AUGCUCAGGGGAUCGGGAUCGAGUGUCGCGCUGGGAAUGCAUCACCGGGGUGAUGCUCAACCGCGUGCCAUUGGAUCCAGAGCCGGUAGAUCUGCUGCCAUUCCUGUUCUCGGCAGUGGCAUUGGACUAGGUGAUCUCCUGGGGACUGCUUCUGUUGAGGCCAAAAGUAGAGAGACAGGGGAUGAUUUUGCUCACCUUUCUGCUAACACAUGGAAAAGAAUGAGCUCCGUGGAUUGCUCACCAGGUUUCUCUGCUUACCACCGCCUUCACAAGUGCAAUCACAACAUGCUUGAGACUCGUGUUCCUGCAUCUCUCAGCAAUCCCGUUCGUGGCGUAUAG